GGCGGUUCUCAGGUGAUGCACCCUGGAAUUGUCCUCCCUUCUCUCUGGUUCCGGGUACAUCACCUGAGAACCACA
rfam:Myotis davidii contig27494, whole genome shotgun sequence.